AACACCUUCUCCAGGAAAAUUUUGAAAGUCAUCCACAUUUUCAGGUUUGGGAUCAACGGAUAGUGAUCUUCCAUGGUCAACAAGUGCAGCUGCCAUUGGAUGACUGGACUUGCUCUCAAUGCUUGACACCCAAUAUAGCAAUGUGUCUAAGCUUAUAUUGUCCUUAUCAAGAACUUGAAAUUCAGUCACCAUAAAUUCACCUCUUGUUAUUGUCCCAGUUUUAUCAAAG
rnacentral:misc_RNA from 1 species